rnacentral:rRNA from 1 species
AUUGAACGCUGGCGGCAGGCCUAACACAUGCAAGUCGAGCGGAGUGGCGGCCGGGUGAGUAAUGCCUAGGAAUCUGACUGGUAGUGGGGGAUAACGUACGGACACGGGCGCUAAUACCGCAUCCUAUCAGAUGAGCCUAGGUCGGAGUAGCUAGAUGGUGGGGUAAAGGCCUACCAAGGCGACGAUCCGUAACUGGUCUGAGUGUAUGACCAGCCACACUGGAACUGAGACACGGUCCAGACUCCUACGGGAGGCAGCAGUGGGGAAUAUUGCACAAUGGGCGCAAGCCUGAUGCAGCCAUGCCGCGUGUGUGAAGAAGGCCUUCGGGUUGUAAAGCACUGUCAGCGGGGAGGCGUUACCCGCCGAAGAAGCACCGGCUAACUCCGUGCCAGCCGCCGCGGUAAUAC